rnacentral:rRNA from 1 species
GGUCCCUACGGAACGCAGCAGUGAGGAAUAUUGGUCAAUGGUCGGGAGACUGAACCAGCCAAGCCGCGUGAGGGAGGAAGGUACAGAGUAUCGUAAACCUCUUUUGUCAGGGAACAAAGGCGGGGACGUGUCCCCGGAUGAGUGUACCUGAAGAAAAAGCAUCGGCUAACUCCGUGCCAGCAGCCGCGGUAAUACGGAGGAUGCGAGCGUUAUCCGGAUUUAUUGGGUUUAAAGGGUGCGCAGGCGGUCUGUUAAGUCAGCGGUCAAAGCCCGGGGCUCAACCCAGGCCCGCCGUUGAAACUGGG